UGGGGAAUAUUGCACAAUGGGGGGAACCCUGAUGCAGCCAUGCCGCGUGUGUGAAGAAGGCCUUCGGGUUGUAAAGCACUUUCAGUUGUGAGGAAAAGUGAGUAGUUAAUACCUGCUCACCGUGACGUUAACAACAGAAGAAGCACCGGCUAACUCCGUGCCAGCAGCCGCGGUAAUACGGAGGGUGCGAGCGUUAAUCGGAAUUACUGGGCGUAAAGCGCACGCAGGCGGUUUGUUAAGCUAGAUGUGAAAGCCCCGAGCUCAACUUGGGAUGGUCAUUUAGAACUGGCAGACUAGAGUUUGGAGAGGGGAGUGGAAUUCCAGGUGUAGCGGUGAAAUGCGUAGAUAUCUGGAGGAACAUCAGUGGCGAAGGCGACUCCCUGGCCAAAGACUGACGCUCAUGUGCGAAAGUGUGGGUAGCGAACAGGAUUAGAUACCCUGGUAGUCCACACCGUAAACGCUGUCUACUAGCUGUUUGUGGCUUUAAGCCGUGAGUAGCGAAGCUAACGCGAUAAGUAGACCGCCUGGGAGAC
rnacentral:rRNA from 1 species